rnacentral:tRNA from 1 species
CGGGGUAUAGCUCAAUGGUACAGCAUUCGGCUGCAGAUUGAGAGGUCUCCGGUUCAAACCCGGGUGUCCCCU